rnacentral:misc_RNA from 1 species
GCCGGGGGUUCGCGUUUGUGGUUAUGGGCUCGGGAGAGGAGGCGCAGGCGGUUAUCGAUAAAUUCCACUCUUAUGAAUUGCUGGGAAGGAGUUUAAAGGUUGAGUUUGCAAAGAGCUUCAGGAAGCCAUCUCCUGCUACGCCACGUGUAGUUGAAGUAGAGACACGGCAUAAAAUAUAUGUAUCAAAUCUUGCUUGGAAAGUGAGAUCCGCUAAUCUCAGAGAAUUUUUCUCCUCCAAAUUUAAGCCUGUAUCAGCGAGGGUGAUUUUUGAUGACCGGAGAUCUGCCGGGUACGGCUUUGUUUCAUUUGCUACAGAGGAGGAAGCAGUGGCUGCCUUUACUGAAUUAGAUGGGCAGAGUUUGAUGGGGCGACCUCUUCGAUUGAAAAUCGGUCCAAAGAAAGAAGAAGAACCUGU